rnacentral:hammerhead_ribozyme from 1 species
AUCCAGCUGACAAGUUUCAAAUAGGACGAAACGCAUGUCCUGAAU